CAAGCAGCCAGGAUUUUAUUCCUGCCAUGAUCAAAAUCAAUCAACAUUAAGAUUAAUUUUAAGUGGUAAAACAGGAAAUAGACGGAAUGAACAUCACAGAGGUGGAAGAACACAUCACUUUGAAAUAUGAAAUCAAGAGAAGACUUGGGAAAGGGGCAUAUGGAAUUGUUUGGAAGGCUGUGGACAGAAAAACAGGAGAGACUGUUGCUGUGAAAAAAAUCUUUGAUGCCUUUAGGAAUCGAACAGAUGCUCAGAGAACAUUCAGAGAAAUUAUGUUCCUCCAGG